UAGGGAAUCUUCCGCAAUGGGCGAAAGCCUGACGGAGCAACGCCGCGUGAGUGAUGAAGGUCUUCGGAUCGUAAAACUCUGUUAUUAGGGAAGAACAAAUGUGUAAGUAACUAUGCACGUCUUGACGGUACCUAAUCAGAAAGCCACGGCUAACUACGUGCCAGCAGCCGCGGUAAUACGUAGGUGGCAAGCGUUAUCCGGAAUUAUUGGGCGUAAAGCGCGCGUAGGCGGUUUUUUAAGUCUGAUGUGAAAGCCCACGGCUCAACCGUGGAGGGUCAUUGGAAACUGGAAAACUUGAGUGCAGAAGAGGAAAGUGGAAUUCCAUGUGUAGCGGUGAAAUGCGCAGAGAUAUGGAGGAACACCAGUGGCGAAGGCGACUUUCUGGUCUGUAACUGACGCUGAUGUGGGAAAGCGUGGGGAUCAAACAGG
rnacentral:rRNA from 1 species